rnacentral:rRNA from 2 species
GAGUUUGAUCAUGGCUCAGAACGAACGCUGGCGGCAUGCCUAACACAUGCAAGUCGAACGGGAUCCUAGCUUGCUAGGUGAGAGUGGCGGACGGGUGAGUAACACGUGGGAAUCUGCCUUUUGGUUCGGGAUAACCGCGGGAAACUGCGGCUAAUACCGAAUGCCCUCGCGAGAGGAAAGAUUUAUCGCCAGAAGAGGAGCCCGCGUCCGAUUAGGUAGUUGGUGGGGUAAAGGCCUACCAAGCCGACGAUCGGUAGCUGGUCUGAGAGGAUGAUCAGCCACACUGGGACUGAGAUACGGCCCAGACUCCUACGGGAGGCAGCAGUGGGGAAUAUUGGACAAUGGGGGCAACCCUGAUCCAGCAAUGCCGCGUGAGUGAUGAAGGCCUUAGGGUUGUAAAGCUCUUUUGCCAGGGAAGAUGAUGACUGUACCUGGAGAAUAAGCCCCGGCUAACUUCGUGCCAGCCGCCGCCGUAAU